rnacentral:rRNA from 1 species
GCCCAAAGUACGGAAUAGCCUCUGGAAACGGAGAGUAAUACCGUAUGUGCCCUUCGGGGAAAGAUUUAUCGCCUUUGGAUUAGCCCGCGUCUGAUUAGAUAGUUGGUGGGGUAACGGCCUACCAAGUCGACGAUCAGUAGCUGGUUUGAGAGGAUGAUCAGCAACACUGGGACUGAGACACGGCCCAGACUCCUACGGGAGGCAGCAGUGGGGAAUCUUAGACAAUGGGCGCAAGUGAUCUAGCCAUGCCGCGUGAGUGACGAAGGUCUUAGGAUCGUAAAGCUCUUUCGCCAGGGAUGAUAAUGACAGUACCUGGUAAAGAAACCCCGGCUAACUCCGUGCCAGCAGCCGCGGUAAUACAGAGGGGGUUAGCGUUGUUCGGAAUUACUGGGCGUAAAGCGCACGUAGGCGGAUUAUUAAGUCAGAGGUGAAAUCCCGGGGCUCAACCCCGAACUGCCUUUGAUACUGGUAAUCUUGAGUUCGAGAGAGGUGAGUGGAAUUCCGAGUGUAGAGGUGAAAUUCGUAGAUAUUCGGAGGAACACCAGUGGCGAAGGGGCUCACUGGCUCGAUACUGACGCUGAGGUGCGAAAGUGUGGGGAGCAAACAGGAUUAGAUACCCUGGUAGUCCACACCGUAAACGAUGAAUGCCAGACGUCGGGGGGCUUGCCUUCGGUGUCACACCUAACGGAUUAAGCAUUCCGCCUGGGGAGUACGGUCGCAAGAUUAAAACUCAAAGGAAUUGACGGGGGCCC